AAACAUGUYUUAAUGAUUUUAAUUUUAAGUCAAAUYUGCUCCAUGAUUAUAAAGAUUAAAUAGCUGCAGUAUAUUAACUGUACAAAGGUAGCAUAAUCAAUAGUUUUUUAAUUAAAAGCUGGAAUGAAUGAUUUAAUAAGGUAAAUAUUGUCUCAAUAUUAAUAAUAUUAUAAUUUUUUUUUUAGUAAAAAAACUAAAUUGAAUUUAAAAGACGAGAAGACCCUAUAGAUUUUUAUAUUAAUUUUAUUAAAUUAAUUUAAUUUAAAUUAAAAUUUAAUAAAAUUAAUAUUUGAUUGGGGAAAUUAUUAAAUUAAAUUAAUUUUAAAAUAUUUAAAAUAUAAAUUAAUAAAUUUAUGAUCCUAAAAUUUUGGAAUAAAAGAAUAAAUUACCUUAGGGAUAACAGCGUAAUUUUUUUGGAGAGAUCUUAUUAAUAAAAAAGUUUGCGACCUCGAUGUUGAAUUAAGAUAAAAUUUUAAUGAAGAAAUUAAAAAUUUUUGGUCUGUUCGACCAAUAAAAUCUUAC
rnacentral:rRNA from 1 species